CGGUAGAAGCCAAUAUGAG
rnacentral:snRNA from 1 species